rnacentral:rRNA from 1 species
GUGGGGAAUAUUCCGCAAUGGACGAAAGUCUGACGGAGCAACGCCGCGUGAGUGAUGAAGGUUUUCGGACUGUAAAGCUCUGUUGUUUGGGACGAAAGUGCCUGUUGCGAACAGUUACGGGUAUUGACGGUACUAAACGAGGAAGCCACGGCUAACUACGUGCCAGCAGCCGCGGUAAUACGUAGGUGGCAAGCGUUGUCCGGAAUUAUUGGGCGUAAAGAGCAUGUAGGCGGGAAUCUAAGUCUGUUGUGAAAAUGCGGGGCUCAACCCCGUAUUGCGAUGGAAACUGGGUUUCUUGAGUGCAGGAGAGGAAAGGGGAAUUCCCAGUGUAGCGGUGAAAUGCGUAGAUAUUGGGAGGAACACCAGUGGCGAAGGCGCCUUUCUGGACUGUGUCUGACGCUGAGAUGCGAAAGCCAGGGUAGCGAACGGGAUUAGAUACCCUAGUAGUCC